AUGUGGAAAAGCAUCAGCCAGCUUGACUGGCGUUGGAUCUCCAUCCAACGGUCGACACGAACCCUUCACCGCCCUGCACAAAACCUCACCGCGACACGGAAGUUGUCUGACGAAGAGAAGCUUCCCGAAGGAAGGCUGAUGGCCGGGGCCGCGGCCGCCACCGCCACCGCUCCGCCGGGGACGGCACUCCCAGCGGCGGAUGGCCCCGGAUACGACGGCGAUGACUACGAGGGGGACGAGUGCCGCAUAUGCCGCCUCCCCGCCGAGGCGGACCGCCCUCUGCGUCGCCCCUGCGCCUGCCGCGGCAGCAUCAGGUUCGUCCACGACGACUGCCAGCUCCGGUGGCUCGCCGCCCGCCAACAAAACCGCUGCGAGGUGUGCAACCGUGACAUCUCCACUCGUCCUCUCUACGUCGCAGAUGCUCCUGCGAGGCUGCAUGUUUCUGAACUCAUGGCGGGUUUGCCCAGCAAGCUCAUGGGUCUGCUGCUCCCCCUCUUCUUCGCCGUCUGUGUUGUUUGGGAGUUUGUCAUUCCGCUCACCACCCUCUGGACAUGGCGUCUCGCGCUAGCCACGACCUUUGCUCACCUGCAUCCCUGCUUCAAUUGCGCUCUGGGCUACAUUUGUACGCUGGGUUGCACCAUUUGCUGUAGCUCCAUAUGUGCGCUGGGUUCAACGCCUGGUUACUUGGAGUGGGAGCCAGGAGUUUUGGUUAUUUGGUGCCUUCCAGGUCCUAGCGAUAUCGGCUGUUGA
rnacentral:rRNA from 1 species